GGUCAGUACCUGGGUGGGAGACCACAUGGGAGUGCU
rnacentral:rRNA from 1 species